rnacentral:rRNA from 1 species
AUUGAACGCUGGCGGCAUGCCUUACACAUGCAAGUCGAACGGCAGCACGGGAGCAAUCCUGGUGGCGAGUGGCGAACGGGUGAGUAAUAUAUCGGAACGUGCCUAGUAGUGGGGGACAACCAGUCGAAAGAUUGGCUAAUACCGCAUACGCACUCUGGUGGAAAGUGGGGGAUCGCAAGACCCCACGCUAUUAGAGAGGCCGAAAUCAGAUUAGGUAGUUGGUGGGGUAAAAGCCUACCAAGCCAACGAUCUGUAGCUGGGCUGAGAGGACGACCAGCCACACUGGGACUGAGACACGGCCCAGACUCCUACGGGAGGCAGCAGUGGGGAAUUUUGGACAAUGGGCGCAAGCCUGAUCCAGCCAUGCCGCGUGUGGAAAGAAGGCCUUCGGGUUGUAAACCACUUUUGUCAGGGAAGAAACGGCUUUGGUUAAUACCUGGAGCUAAUGACGGUACCUGAAGAAUAAGCACCGGCUAACUACGUGCCAGCCGCCGCAGUAA